AACGAACGCUGGCGGCAUGCCUAACACAUGCAAGUCGAACGGGACCUCCGGGUCUGGUUGCGCUCAGGGGCGUAGCGCGUGGGAAGCUGCCCUUAGGUACGGAAUAAUUCCCUGUAGGGGGGGCUAAUACCGGAUAAUGUCCUCGGACAAAAGAUUUAUCGCCCUUGGAUGGGCGCGGGAUCGUUUAGCCUGUUGGUAGGGUAAGAGCCUAUCAAGGCCACGCUCGAUAGCUGGUCUGAGAGGAUGAACAGCCACACUCGGGCUCGGCAACGGCCCAGACUCCUACGGAAAGGAGGAGUGCGGAAUACUGGACAAUGGGGUAAGGCCUGAUCCAGCAAUGCCGGGUAAGUGAUGAAGUCGGUAGGGUAGUAAAGCUCUUUAACACGGGGCGAUACUGACGGUACCGGGAGAAUAAGCACCGGCUAACUCCGUG
rnacentral:rRNA from 1 species